rnacentral:rRNA from 1 species
CUCGGUAUUGGGGAUCCUAUUUGCGUACCAACCCAAGACAUGCUUAUCGGGCUUUAUGUAUUAACGAUUGGAAAGCGUCGAGGUAUUUGUUCAAAUAGAUAUAAUAGUUGCAGAAACUAUCCAAAUCUAAAAGUAAAUUACAAUAAUAAUAAUAAUAAUUCUAAAUAUAGGAAAGAUAAAGAACCCCAUUUUUCUAGUUCUUAUGAUGCACUGGGAGCUUAUAGACAAAAACUAAUCAGUUUAGAUAGUCUCUUGUGGCUACGAUGGAACCUAGAUCAACGCGUCAUUGGGUCAAGAGAAGUUCCAAUUGAAGUUCAAUAUGAAUCUUUGGUAAGGAGAUAG